rnacentral:lncRNA from 1 species
CAGAGGAAGAGCCUCCUAAGAAAAGGGUACACAAUAGUGGAAUGAGAGAAAAGAGCAGAGAGAGCCAGAUGCCCACAUGAGAAGGGUCUGGAGGAAAGAGGCUGUUUGGGCAGAAAAUGAUGAUCCUUAGCUGCUAACUCUGUCAGCACAAAGAGAGUGGGACUGCAGAUGACCUCCAACACUGAAUAAACCAAAAAGGAUUCAUUUAACGUUUGAGAACAAAUUCUCAGGGAUCCCCUGUGAUCAGCAUUAAUGGACUGGGGCGAGAACAGAGAAGGUGACUUCACAUUUAUGAAUAUCAAAUAAUGAGGGCUCAGCUUUUUGCCUUCCAGCAGUCAAGUUCUUCUUCUGGGAAGUGCCUCUCUGUCGGGGUAACAAACAUUUUUAAGUUGACUGAUACAUUUUAAAAGUAGUAUGUAGAAAGGCUUUCUAAAAUCAAAAUCCAAUUUUA